rnacentral:rRNA from 1 species
UACGUAGGGUGCGAGCGUUAAUCGGAAUUACUGGGCGUAAAGCGUGCGCAGGCGGUUUUGUAAGCCAGAUGUGAAAUCCCCGGGCUUAACCUGGGAAUGGCAUUUGGGACUGCAAGGCUGGAGUGUGGCAGAGGAGACUGGAAUUCCUGGUGUAGCAGUGAAAUGCGUAGAUAUCAGGAGGAACACCGGUGGCGAAGGCGGCUACCUGGACGGUUACUGACGCUGAGACGCGAAAGCGUGGGGAGCAAACAGG